rnacentral:rRNA from 1 species
GACGAACGCUGGCGGCGUGCUUAACACAUGCAAGUCGAACGGAAAGGCCCUGCUUUUGUGGGGUGCUCGAGUGGCGAACGGGUGAGUAACACGUGAGUAACCUGCCCUUGACUUUGGGAUAACUUCAGGAAACUGGGGCUAAUACCGGAUAGGAGCUCCUGCUGCAUGGUGGGGGUUGGAAAGUUUCGGCGGUUGGGGAUGGACUCGCGGCUUAUCAGCUUGUUGGUGGGGUAGUGGCUUACCAAGGCUUUGACGGGUAGCCGGCCUGAGAGGGUGACCGGCCACAUUGCGACUGAGAGACGGCCCAGACGCCUACGGGGGGCAGAAGUGGGGAAUAUGGCACAAUGGGCGGAAGCCUGAUGCAGCAACGCCGCGGGCGGGAUGACGGUCUUCGGGUUGUAAACCGCUUUCGCCUGUGACGAAGCGUGAGUGACGGUAAUGGAUAAAGAAGCACCGGCUAACUACGUG